AGCCUGUUUCUAAGGCGCACAGAGUAAACUUGGGCAUGGCCAUCAGAGCAGAAUCCCAGUGGCCAGCAACUUCCGUGCAAAGCCGCACACGUGGGACGGAGAGCGCUCAGAAUCCAGCAGCGGGAGGCAUUCCACGCGGGCGAGGCAGAGGGGGGCCCCGCACGGCCUGUUCACGUUCUCCACCAAUUCCCCGAGAGCUGGCUCGGCGGCCUCCACCCGGCGAGGUGUGUCUGUGCUUCCCACGGCCCCGCUCCAGCUGCCGAAAGGAGACGCAGUAAGCGAUCCCGCGCGUCACACCGGCGAAGAGGAGACGCUGUCACCGCCUUCCCACCGGGAAUGUCCAUCCAACCUGGCAGGUCGGGGGCGGGACUCGCCCGCGGGCCCCACCCAGCCACCCCCAUUGGCUGAGGCCUCCAGGGGGCGGGGUCAGCGCCGCUCUGUGGGAACCCGGGUCCCGGCGGUGGCGGAGAAGCCCCGGUGGGUGUGGAGCGAGCGUCUGCGCCCAGGAAGCCCUGCCUGGGGGCCAUGGGGGGAGAGGUGAGGCUGCCGCCCGGAGAGCCCUGCCGAGAAGAGCUUUAUUAACAUGAAAGUAUGACAUGAUGAAAAUAGAAUGUAAGAAAUACACCCAUCACCUGUGAAGCACCAACUGCAUGAAGACCGUGUGCCAGGGGACACCAAGGCACCUUCCUGAGAAUUCUGACCUGGUUUGGCGGUGGGGAGGAUUGGAGAUGGAGAGGGACCCAGUGGUUUUCCAAGUUUUCUUUAAGUGAGCCACCUUCCCAGGGUGCAGCCAACCAGAAGAGUGACAAAUGACAGGUGGUUUUAGAAUUGAUGCAGCCUAUCUUCGUGGUUUCGAGAGGAGAAGAUUCAGGAACUGUGCACUUCUUUAAGAACUGGCUGUAUCUCUCAUGUACUGAUGAGCGUGUGUCCCACUUUGAUGUAGAUAAUCUUUUUUUUCCAUGUAUAGAAUCUUAAAUUUUCAAAACAGGUUAACAUAAAAAUAUAUCAGUUUGCCCUCACACAUGUUCAAUUCUGUGAGUUUUAUUAGGUAACCAUUAUAUCCUUUUGCAGAUACAGAAACCAAGGCCCAGAGAAUUGAAUAAGGUUUCAUAAUUAGUGAUCAAAUUAAGCACAAAAUUAUUGGGGCCUUUAUUUUUUCUGUAGGAGCCCAUCUCCAUUCUCUAGCCUCUUGGUUCAAUGGUAUACAGUAUAAUGAUUCUGAGAUUUUAUUCUUUAAAAACAUCCAUAUUGUAAACAUGUCUCAAAAUUCCACCAAAUGAACACAAUUUGUAUUAUCAGGACAAGCUGUAUUUUCGGUGUAAAAUAUAGUGGCUUAUAUGUUGAUUUUUACUAAAGUUUAAAUUUUUGCACAAGUUGUUUUCCCAGCCUUCCAGAGAUUUUCUAAGUGGUGAAAUUUAAAAGUGCUUAAAGGUAGUAAAAAUUUCCCACUAAAGUUUGUUCAGAAAACAAUAUACUAUUAAUUGCUGAAUUUAAUAUUUAAUAUGAACUGUAUCAAGGUUUAAAAACCUUGAUAUAAAUGCAUCCUUAUUGCAAUAUUAGUCCUUGGGUUCUUUUCCUGCAUCUUCAUUCAUUAAUCAUUUAUUAACUUUAUGGGAAUUUUAUCUUAACAGUUUAGUGACUUUAGUAAUAUACAGAUUGUAAAGUGAAAACAACAGUUUAUGUAGGAAAUCUGAUAGUAAAUUAUUGGACUUCUUGGCUUCCAAACACACUGAUGGUGGGAAGAUACAGGUUUUUAACUUAAAAAAAAAUCAAUAGUAUUUUUUCAAUUUUAUUUUGGUUAAUUGAAAUAAUGGGCUUCUUCCUCAUCCUAACAGAGUUGAUAUGUAGUCUACUAUGAAUGAUUUCCGAAUUUACUCAAAAUUAUUACUCAUUCUAUUCUGCUCCCCUUACUCCUGUUCCUCUGUUCUCUCACUAAAAUCAUCAGCUCUGUGAGAACAGAAACCUGUUUACCUACCUUGUUGAUCACUAUCUCGCAGGUUCCUAGAACAGGGCACGGCACACAGGAAGUACUCAGUAAGAAUUCACUAAGUGUUGAAUAAAUGAAUACCUAACAUAUGUUUGUGUGGUAGGUGUUCAACAACUAUUUUGUUGAAUGAAUUCAUGGAAAAGCUUUAUGGAUAUACAAUACUGUUCUGUAUAAAACCAUAAUUGAACUGUGAGAAGUUUGGCAGGAUUAAGUAGGGUGAUAUGAUGGAACUUGACUGAGACGUUCCUUUAGAUUGGGAAGAGCGAGAAGGUCUCUCUGAGGAAGUAGCUCCUCAUCAGCCAGCUACUACUUCACUACUCAGGCUAAGUAAGGGUUACUUAAAAGUUUUAAGGUGAGAAGAAACUUAGCCUAAGAAAGGAACAGAGAAAAAAAAAACAAUAGUAGGGAAUGAGGUUGCAGAGGUAGCUGGAGGCAGGAUUCUGUAGACCCUUGUAAACUGUGGUGGGACUUUUGGAUAUUUUUUCUGAAUGAGGAGGGAAGCCAUUGUAGAAUUUGGGAAGGAGAAAUGACAACAUCGGACCUACUUGUGUAAAGGCUCUUUUCACCUGAUCUUGUCCUCUGCUAUCCUUCAACCUGAUCACUCAGCCCAGCCAGCCUGUCGGAUUGCAGCCCCGCCCCCCACCCGCAAGCAAACUGCGCCCUCAAGAUUUUUGCAUUUAUACUUAGCAGAGAGGUUUUACAUUUAAUGUUGUUUUUUAAAAAGUAUUUCUUUAUGCUGCUUUUACCACUGUCCAUGGCACUCAGCAUAUUAUGUAGUUAUUAGUUCAUUUGUCUAUCUUAUUUUCCCCUCAUUAGAAUGACUAUAAGAGAGUAGGAAUGUUCUUUUGUUCACUGUUGUAUCCCCAGCUUCUAGAAAAUGCCUGACAGAUAAUAGACACUCAAUAAAAAUGUGAUCUGCAGAAUAAAUUUAGGGACA